ensembl:lncRNA
GGCCUGGCGGGAGGGCGAGAAGCGCCAGGAGCCCUCGUCCUGCGGAGACGGGCCGUCAGCGGGCGCCCGCCGGGCUGGCAGCGUGGGUCCGGUCUCUCCCCAUCCCCGGGACGCCCCGUACCUGGCCACCCGCCUCCUCCUGGUCCGCCAGCCGGGCCCGCAGCCGCCGCACCAUCACCUGCCGCUUCCACUCGUGGAUGGGGCGGCCCCGCUCGUCGUGUGUGGGUACCAGGGAGUCCGCUUCUGCCUCCGCGGAAUCCGGCCCCGGGGGUUCCGCCGGCUCGGCCGCCCCAUUCUGCGCGGGCAGAGUCACGGGAGGAUUGUGGGGGGGGCGGCAGCUCGGUGGGGACGGGCCGGGGGCCGCGGGCGGAGCCAGCGACCUACCGGGUGGGCGAAGAAGGGCGCCGGGAUCCUGGCCCGCUGCGAGAGCUUGCGGAGCUUCAGCUCCGCCGGCACCGACCUGCCGGGCUCCAUCCCCCGCCGGGCCGGCUGGCUGCCGCGGGGAUAGGCGCAGGCUUCCUCCUGGAGAAGGAGGGCAGGCAAGGGGAGGCAGAUGCCUCCCUCCUAACACCUCCAGGAUCCUCCACGAAGGAUCGGGUGAGGGGACCCCGUGAAGAUGCCCUGCACAUCACCCCAGUCCUUGCGGGAAACCUUUCCCGGGAAAGACCCACGGCUGAGCGUUUCGGUCAGAAAACGGGACGGAGCUGCAGCGCCUCUGCUGCACCUUCUCUCCUCGGGGGACACCGCGAUAUCCCCGCAGCCGAGGACCAAGCCCGGGGCCGCCCACAUCUCCGCCAGUUCUUCUCCGGACACCCCAUGCCCAUGGCGGGCUGGCUUUUCCCAGGGGAUGGGGGCACCCACAACCACAGCAGGGCCUUACCUGCCGCGGAGGGAGGGCUGAGCCAGCCGCCGGGGACAGGAGGCACCCGGGAGCCCCGCGCUGAGUGCAGGAGGGCGGGUCCUGUCCGGACAAGAGCCAAAAGUGGGUGCAGCUGCACCCCCAAAGUCCCUGUCCAAGAAGCAAUGCUGAGUACUGGGCAGGAGGGGAGGCAGGAGGUUGGGCAGCCCUGGAGCAGGCAAGGGCCACGGCUGCAGCGCUGGGGCGGGGAGUGCACUGAGCGUUGCAUUAAUAUUUCACCGAAGCAUCGAGUGGCAGUGCUGGAGCUCAGUGGGUGGCACCGGCACCAGUCCUGGAAAUAGUGGCUCAGUGGCUUGGCUCCAAGCCUCGUCCCGCUCCUCAGGCCAACAGAGAAUGGCCAAAGCUGGUCACGAUGCCUACCUCCAUGCUGGGUUUUGGGGACAAGAAGUCUUUUGCACUGGCUGGCACAUGGGGCAGGUACUGGCAGUGGGGGAUCUUUGGCAGAGGGACCCACCGCGCUGCUGCCGGACAUCUGUUACUAAUAUUCGGCCACGUUUGUGUUCCUUCACUCCACUGCCAUCCAUUAUAUAUGGCCAGGAUGGAUUAGUGGGGCUCAGUUACACAUGAGAAAUUCCAUCAAGGGGCUGGAGUACAAUCAAGGAGCAGCAGAUCAAAGCCUUAAGCAACAAUUGCCUGGUGAGGAUCCAUUACAGAUUCAGCCUCUCAGUCCCUCCUCAGCCCUGGCACAGGCUGACCCCUGACACAGGGUGGCUCUUGUGGGGACAUGAGCUGACACCACCCUGCAAUACAGCCACAGCUCCAGAGUGGGUUACACAGUACCUGCAGCAGUGUGGCACCCUGCAAUAUUAAUGGGGAUGUAGUAUGAAACAUGGGAACAUGGCCCAGCGCUGGAGGCACCACGUCUCAGGUUAAGCAGACAGAUGUUGUGAGCUGUGACAUGAGCCACAUGCUAGCCUGCUCCCAUGUCUUAUUGCUGGCAUGGAAGGAGAAGGCUGGAGAUUUGCCAGCUGCUGUGCCAAGGGGGGAUUUUGCUGAAAGCCAUGCCAGGGUUGGGUCUUCCUCUGGGUACCAGAUAACUGCUCACAAACGUCCUGCCUCCUGCUCCCCUGGAGUGCUAGGGAAGGACAGAAAGGGCCACUUUGAUGCCUGGCAUGGCCUGGGACCUCCAAUGAGAGGAUUCUGCUCAAAGGCAGAGCCUUUGUGGACUACCAAAGAGCCACCUCCCCCCUGCCAGCAUUUUCCAGUUGAAAUCUCCAUGAGUGUUUAGUCUUUGCUUCUGUCUCUGGGGCCCAGAAGGCACUGAGAGGCCGUGGUCCCCCCUGAGCAGCCUCACCCCAUGCUCGGCUGCCCUUGCUGUGGCAGACGUGGUCCCCAAAACUCUCGACACCAACAUUUCGGCCUGCUUCCUAGGAAGCAGAGUCUGAAAGGUGGCAGGCAGGUGUGGGCAGCAACUCAGCCCCAAUGCUGGGAGCUCCCCAGUCACCCGGUCCAUGGGAGGGGUGGAGCAGGGCAGCAAGGAGGGCCUGGCACUGUUUGCAGCAUGCCACCAUGUGGCUGCCACCACAAAGCUCUUGGGGGUGCCCCAAAGUGAGGAAGAGCACCAUGUUUCACCGAAGAAGAGACUCCCUAAAUACGAUGCUCAUUCUCGCUGGGGCUGCUCCUCCCACAUGCAGUCCUCUUCUGCAGGACCAGGAAAAGAGAGGAGUGUCUCCCCGAGCCUCCAUCUCAGCUGCUUUCCUCACCCUGGGCUUCAGGAGAGCAGACACUGGCUCCUCCAGGACGUGCUUGGCACAGCCCCAGGGUGUUGUGUCUGUUUGUACCUCAACCCACAGGUUUUAUCUUUCCUUGUUUUUUCAAUUCUCCUUCCCAUCCCAGUGUGGCAGCCAAAUUUAACAGCUGUGUGGUACUUGGUUGCCAUCUGGGCUUAAACCACAACAGUGAUGUAUGCAUUGAGUUGUGGUUGCACUGGACAAAUGUACAACUCACAAUUCACUUAUUGACUGUUUUUUUAAAUUAUUUUUCAAUAUCUUAAAUAACUUUGAUAAAAUGUAGACUCCUGGAUCACUUUUGAAAAUGAUAAACUAAGCUCAAAAAAAAAAAAAAAAAAAA